UCCCCCCCCUCAUUAUUUUUAUUGCCCCCACCCACCGUUCAGGGGUGGGGGCCAGGGGGGGAGGACAGUACGUCCCCCCCUCAUUAUUUUUAUGGCCCCCACCCACCGCACAGGGGUGGGGGCCGGGGGGAGGACAGU